CUUUAAAAAUCCGGAACAAGCUGAAAAUUGAAACACUGAACAACGCAAGUUGUUCGUGAGUCUCUCAAAUACUUGCAACACGAAAUGUGUUCAGUCAGCGG
rnacentral:sRNA from 1 species